AGUGAACGCUGGCGGUAGGCCUAACACAUGCAAGCCGAACGGCAGCACAGUAAGAGCUUGCUCUUACGGGUGGCGAGUGGCGGACGGGUGAGGAAUACAUCGGAAUCUACUUUUUCGUGGGGGAUAACGUAGGGAAACUUACGCUAAUACCGCAUACGACCUACGGGUGAAAGCAGGGGAUCUUCGGACCUUGCGCGAUUGAAUGAGCCGAUGUCGGAUUAGCUAGUUGGCGGGGUAAAGGCCCACCAAGGCGACGAUCCGUAGCUGGUCUGAGAGGAUGAUCAGCCACACUGGAACUGAGACACGGUCCAGACUCCUACGGGAGGCAGCAGUGGGGAAUAUUGGACAAUGGGCGCAAGCCUGAUCCAGCCAUACCGCGUGGGUGAAGAAGGCCUUCGGGUUGUAAAGCCCUUUUGUUGGGAAAGAAAAGCAGCAGGUUAAUACCCCGCUGUUCUGACGGUACCCAAAGAAUAGGCACCGGCUAACUUCGUG
rnacentral:rRNA from 1 species